rnacentral:rRNA from 1 species
UGGGGAAUAUUGCACAAUGGGCGCAAGCCUGAUGCAGCCAUGCCGCGUGUGUGAAGAAGGCCUUCGGGUUGUAAAGCACUUUCAGCGAGGAGGAAGGUGGUGAGCUUAAUACGCUCAUCAAUUGACGUUACUCGCAGAAGAAGCACCGGCUAACUCCGUGCCAGCAGCCGCGGUAAUACGGAGGGUGCAAGCGUUAAUCGGAAUUACUGGGCGUAAAGCGCACGCAGGCGGUUUGUUAAGUCAGAUGUGAAAUCCCCGGGCUCAACCUGGGAACUGCAUUUGAAACUGGCAAGCUAGAUCUCGUAGAGGGGGGUAGAAUUCCAGGUGUAGCGGUGAAAUGCGUAGAGAUCUGGAGGAAUACCGGUGGCGAAGGCGGCCCCCUGGACGAAGACUGACGCUCAGGUGCGAAAGCGU